rfam:Astyanax mexicanus chromosome 6, whole genome shotgun sequence.
UUGGCUUUCAUGAAGGCCGGUGCAUAAACUACGUUCUAGUGGCGCCUGUUGGAUUUCCAGCCAA